AUUGAACGCUAGCGGCAUGCUUUACACAUGCAAGUCGAACGAGUCGCGGACGGGUGAGUAAUGUAUGGGGACUGCCCGAUAGAGGGGGAUAACUACUGGAAACGGACGCUAUUACCGCAUACUAUCGGAUAACCCAUAUGGGAUUAGCUAGUAGUUGAGGUAAUGGCUAACAUAGGCGACGAUCCCUAGCUGGUCUGAGAGGAUGAUCAGACACACGGGUGCAGAGACACGGCCCAGACUCCUACGGAGGCAGCAGUGGGGAAUAUUGCACAAUGGGCGCAAGCCUGAUGCAGCCAUGCGGCGGGUAUGAAGAAGGCCCUAGGGUUGUAAAGUACUUUCAGUCGGGAAGAGUUACCGACAGAAGAAGCAACGGCUAACUCCGUGCCAGCAGCCGCGGUAAUUC
rnacentral:rRNA from 1 species